AGAGGGCCGGUUAUGAACCAGGGUCGAAAUCAGAUCCUAAGACACAAAACCGAGUCUCAACGAUGACUCCGGGGUUCUUUUGCAGAUUGAAGAAAGGGAUUUGAUAGCAAACUCAAUAAGGUUUCUAUGAGCAUUAAUUUUAGGUAAUUUGGAGUUGUUUUGACUUUAUAAGAGCUUUACAAAGUUAAGAUUGUUUUUAGAUGACUUGGGGUUUGAAAAAUAAAAUAGGGUUGAUGUUUCUGGUGAUUUCAAGAGUUUAAUAAUAGAUCUAUAAGUGAAAUUUUUUAGGUUAAUGGUCAUAGUUGUGCUUAAUGUGUGUUGUAAAUAUUAACUCGAUUUAAUGGUUGAAUUGACAAUUAUUGAGGUUUAAGUUGGUGAAGGUCUCAGAAAGUAGAAUUUUAGGUCCAAUGUGUGUUUU
rnacentral:lncRNA from 1 species